GUUUUUCUUUUCUCGAGUAUUCGCCAAAUAUCUUGAUUGGACUAACUAGCUAAGUCUCGAAUGUGAAAAAAUGGCGUUCAGACUGGAUUUCCAUACCCAUAUUUUACCACCCGAAUGGCCAGAUUUGAAGCAGCGUUACGGUUACGGAGGAUGGCUUCGAAUGGAGCGUUCAGGAGACCCAAAGAAGGCGCGACUUCUAAAAGACGAUGGAACAUUCUUCCGAGCCAUUGAAAGCAACUGCUGGUGUCCUGAAGACAGAAUUCGAGAGAUGGAUGAAACAAAUGUAAACGUGCAACUAUUGUCCACAGUUCCGGUCAUGUUCAGUUACUGGGCUAAACCCCAGGAUACAUUAGACUUUAGUCGAUUUCUGAAUGACCAUCUUGCAUCCGUAGUGAAGGAUCAUCCUCGGAGGUUUGUGGGAGCGGCGACAGUCCCUCUGCAGUGUCCCGAGUUGGCAACCGAAGAACUCAAGAGAAGUGUUGGGAAUUUAGGUUUGAAGGCAGUUAUGAUCGGAUCCCAUGUGAAUCAGUGGAAUUUAGAUAAUAGAGAGUUGGAUCCUUUCUACAAGACGGCAGAAGACCUUUCAUGUCCAGUGUUUGUUCACCCAUGGGAUAUGGAGACAGGAGGUCGCAUGAGCAAGUACUGGCUUCCCUGGCUUGUGGGUAUGCCUGCGGAGACAACAACUGCUAUUUGUUGCAUUCUUUUCGGAGGUGUUCUUGAAAGAUUCCCAAAGCUGAAAAUAUGCUUUGCUCAUGGAGCUGGUGCAUUUCCUUACACAUUAGGAAGGAUCGAGCAUGGAUUUAACGUGAGGCCAGAUCUCUGUGCAGUGGAGAAUUCCAUACCCCCAAGUUCUUAUUUAGGGAGAAUUUAUUCAGAUGCUCUGGUGCACAACACUGAUUCACUGAAACUCUUGUUGAAAGUAGUCGGAGAAAAAAAUGUUUUCCUGGGCAGCGAUUACCCUUUUCCACUUGGAGAACAUUUUCCAGGAAAAUUAAUUCAAGAAUCAUCAGAUUUAACUAAAAGAGUUCAGCCCAGAACCGGCGCCAGAGCUCGUAUGGCAGCAUCGAGUGGCAGAAUUUAGGGAAGACAAAUGGAGGCACUUGGUAGCAAGAAUUUAGGACCCACAGAGACUGCAACAGGCGAAUGAUAUAUUAGGACUGAAUGCUUUGGAAUUUCUUGGCCUUAAAUAUGAAAAUUUUCAGUAACAACCUCUGACUAAUAAUUGAGCCUCAUGAAAAUUUCAUUCUUAAAAGGAUUUUGAAUAAUGCAGCAUGAAUUAUCAAGAAACCAAUUUCAUUCUCAAAAGAAGAAAUUAUGGAAACAAUUAUAUAUAUACAGCUAAACCCCAUUAUAAUGAAUCUUUAAGGGGCUCAAAGUCUGAUACAGUAUAUCUGAUGUUCCCUAUAUUUGAUCCCAUAAUAAAAUUAGAUUAUCUCCUAAACUGGCUGAUGAAUCACAAAAGAAUUCAUUUGCCUUAUCAUAUCUACCAAAAGAGGUGAAUAAUAACUCUGUUUUUUAAAAGAUUAAGUAUUAAUUACUAUUAAACGUAAUUAUUAAAUUUUUAGCACCAGAAGUGCUAUUAGUCUCAAACUUCACAUCUUGACUACAUGUGAAAGUGUUACCAACAUGCAUUAUUUUUAAAGAAAUAAUACAGUGAAUAUAAAAUAUAUAUGGCAAAAUUUAACACUUUACUAGAAAUUCUAAUCUAAUAUAGUGUAAUAUUACAAUCAAUUCACUUUUGAAAUAUGAUAACCAUUUACUUAUACCAUGGCUGUUAAAAUCUUUUUAACUUCUAUGCACGAAUUUAUUGCCAUUUCAUGAAAUAUAAAAUAUUUAAUUUUUCUUUUAAAUUUAAUCUGCCUGUUAGUGGUUAAAAAAAUAAGUGAUUUAAAAGCCCUAAAUACAGUUCUUUCUUUUAUUAAUUAUCAGCAGGACCCACAGAAUUACACUCGCUGGAUUUAUUAAAAGCAUUUUAUAUGUUUCUCUUUCUUUUUUAUAGUAACUGUUUAAGCACCUAGCCAUGCCAGCAACUAAUUAUUGGAAAACUGAAAACAACAACAAAAGUGAGAUUUGAGAAUAAUGGCUUCAGAGUUAAAAAAAUUAUGGCAACACUUAACACUGUAUCCAUAAUUCUAGAAAUAUGCUGUUUUUAAAACUUUUUGGGUUUUGUUGUUAAAUUUGAAUAUAUGACAAUGCUUAACACUAUAUUUAGAAUUUUCAACAUAUUAUGUGUUUAAAAAUUUUGUGAUUUUGUUGUUGAAUUUGAUGCAGCAUAAGUGUGAAGAAAGUGAUGUUUAUUAAUAAAGAGGCAGAAAUGUAGUGUCAGCAGGAGAGAGUCCAAGAGUAGACUGAUAAAAUGCGAGCUCAGCGAGAGCAAAAGAACCUUAUAAGGUAUUUUCUCCCUCCUUUCCACGUGCCUUCAUGGUGUAGCUGGAAGCACAUCCCAACAUGUAAUCAGAAGGUCCAGAGUGAUGGACGAUAAUUCAUCACCACCAGGAUUUGGCUAUUGCACUCCCUCAUCCUCAGUCACCCUUUAAAAGGGGAGUAUAUAAGGUACUUUCUCUCUUCUUUUCAUGAGUUUUCAUGAUGUAACUUUGCAUGAGUCUUCAUGAGCAUAUCUGACGCAUAAUCAUGAGGUUCAGAGUUCAAAUCACAUAAGGGCAUUGCAUAUUUUUCAA